GACGAACGCUGGCGGCGCGCUUAACACAUGCAAGUCGUGCGAUACCUCGAGCGAGUCUUACGACAAGCUCAAGGUAGAGCGGCGGACGGGUGAGUAACACGUGAGUAGCUGUCCUAAGGAGGGGGAUAACGCCUGGAAACGGGUGCUAAAACCCCAUAUGCCUCGCAAGAGGUGAAAGUGUAGCUUGCUACAGCCUUAGGGUGUGCUCACGGCCUAUCAGCUAGUUGGUGAGGUAAUGGCUCACCAAGGCUAAGACGGGUAGCCGGCCUGAGAGGGUGUACGGCCACACUGGAAUUGAGAUACGGUCCAGACUCCUACGGGAGGCAGCAGUGGGGAAUCUUGGGCAAUGGGCGAAAGCCUGACCCAGCGACGCCGCGUUGGGGAUGAAGCCCUUCGGGGUGUAAACCCAUGUUGUAGGGGACGAAGAAAGUGACGGUACCCUACGAGGAAGCCCCGGCUAACUACGUGCCAGCAGCCGCGGUAAGACGUAGGGGGCGAGCGUUGUCCGGAAUUACUGGGCGUAAAGGGCACGCAGGCGGUGCGCCAAGUCGAGGGUGUAAAGUUACGGCUCAACCGUGACAUUGCAAUCGAUACUGGCGCGCUGGAGUGCGGGAGAGGGAAGUGGAAUUCCCGGUGUAGCGGUGAAAUGCGUAGAUAUCGGGAGGAACGCCAGUGGCGAAGGCGGCUUCCUGGCCCGCGACUGACGCUCAUGUGCGAAAGCCAGGGGAGCGAACC
rnacentral:rRNA from 1 species